GGGAGGAGGAGGAGACUGAUGAUGAAAUAGGAGGCGCGGCCAGGAGGACGAAGGAGAGAGCGAGGCUGUAAGAGAAUGAGAGAGAGAGACAGAAGAACGACACGCCUCCACGAGUUGCGCAGACGCAGUGUGAACGGCGAGCGCUAUAGUGGCAUCCGGAGCAGGAAGUGGAGAAGAGGAGGAAAAACAGCUGCCCUGUUUUGUACUAAACAGACACCGAGUGCGUCCCUCCAAAAUAAGAGCAGAUAUAAAGACGACCCAACUGUAUUUUCUAAGAUUAUUCUCGAAUAUUCUCUGUUGUCAGCACACCCCCGUCCCCCCCUACCGUUGUCCUUCAGCCCCCCCUCCUGUACCUUCCCCUCCUCUUCCCUCAAGCGCCUGCCAUCUCAGUCACCAGCGUUUGGCUUUUUCCACUCUUGUGGCACAUUACUGUAACGCUAUUGUGAGACAACUCCCUGCCUCUUUUCGGCUCUGUAAAAAAAAACAUAAAAACAGCAGAGCUCGGUAGCGUGAGUGUGUCAGUCAGUAAGAGAAACGACGCACCUCGCACAAAGACAAGAAUAAAAAAGUCCAACUCACUUCGCUGUGUCGGGGAGAAGGCAGAAAAUCGAGGAAGCGAAGACGACGAGAAGGAGCAGAAAGCUUCUGCUGAGCACGAGCUGGCAGAGGGAGAAUGCGGCGGACCCGGUGGCGUUCGGACCUCGGCGUGCGGGUCGACCUCGCCGAAGAGGGAUGAGCCCUCGCGAUAACUACUGCUGGCAACUAGUCAGCGAUCAAACAUAUUCUCCUGCAUCAGCACCAUGUUUGUGUGGCCACAAAACUGCACUAAAACGACACCGUGUGAAUCAAAAAUAAAUAUUAAACAUCAAA